AUUGAACGCUGGCGGCAGGCCUAACACAUGCAAGUCGAACGGUAGCACAGAGAGCUUGCUCUCGGGUGACGAGUGGCGGACGGGUGAGUAACGUCUGGGAAACUGCCCGAUGGAGGGGGAUAACUACUGGAAACGGUAGCUAAUACCGCAUAACGUCGCAAGACCAAAGUGGGGGACCUUCGGGCCUCACACCAUCGGAUGUGACCAGAUGGGAUUAGCUAGUAGGUGGGGUAAUGGCUCGCCUAGGCGACGAUCCCUAGCUGGUCUGAGAGGAUGACCAGCCACACUGGAACUGAGACACGGUCCAGACUCCUACGGGAGGCAGCAGUGGGGAAUAUUGCACAAUGGGCGCAAGCCUGAUGCAGCCAUGCCGCGUGUAUGAAGAAGGCCUUCGGGUUGUAAAGUACUUUCAGCGGGGAGGAAGGCGGUGAAGUUAAUAACUUCACCGGUUGACGUUACCCGCAGAAGAAGCACCGGCUAACUCCGUGCCAGCCGCCGCGGUAA
rnacentral:rRNA from 1 species